UAGGGAAUCUUCGGCAAUGGACGAAAGUCUGACCGAGCAACGCCGCGUGAGUGAAGAAGGUUUUCGGAUCGUAAAACUCUGUUGUUAGAGAAGAACAAGGACGUUAGUAACUGAACGUCCCCUGACGGUAUCUAACCAGAAAGCCACGGCUAACUACGUGCCAGCAGCCGCGGUAAUACGUAGGUGGCAAGCGUUGUCCGGAGUUAUUGGGCGUAAAGCGAGCGCAGGCGGUUUCUUAAGUCUGAUGUGAAAGCCCCCGGCUCAACCGGGGAGGGUCAUUGGAAACUGGGAGACUUGAGUGCAGAAGAGGUGAGUGGAAUUCCAUGUGUAGCGGUGAAAUGCGUAGAUAUAUGGAGGAACACCAGUGGCGAAGGCGGCUCUCUGGUCUGUAACUGACGCUGAGUCUCGAAAGCGUGGGGAGCAAACAGG
rnacentral:rRNA from 1 species